rnacentral:rRNA from 1 species
UACGUAGGGUGCAAGCGUUAAUCGGAAUUACUGGGCGUAAAGCGUGCGCAGGCGGUGAUGUAAGACAGAUGUGAAAUCCCCGGGCUCAACCUGGGAACUGCAUUUGUGACUGCAUCGCUGGAGUACGGUAGAGGGGGAUGGAAUUCCGCGUGUAGCAGUGAAAUGCGUAGAUAUGCGGAGGAACACCGAUGGCGAAGGCAAUCCCCUGGACCUGUACUGACGCUCAUGCACGAAAGCGUGGGGAGCAAACAGG